rnacentral:misc_RNA from 1 species
GAUGAAGAACGUAGCGAAAUGCGAUAAGUAAUGUGAAUUGCAGAAUUCAGUGAAUCAUCGAAUCUUUGAACGCACAUUGCGCCCGCUAGUAUUCUGGCGGGCAUGCCUGUUCGAGCGUCAUUUCAACCAUCAAGCCCUGUUUAGGCUUGUGUUGGGGCCCUGCGGCUGCCGCAGGCCCCGAAAAGCAGUGGCGGGCUCGCUGUCACACCGAGCGCAGUAGCGAUUCUCGCUCCGGGCGUCGGCGGCGGGCACCGGCCGUGAAACCCCCCCACAUCCACAAGGUUGACCUCGGAUCAGGUAGGAAUACCCGCUGAACUUAAGCAUAUCAAAAGCGGAGGA